UACGUAGGGUGCGAGCGUUGUCCGGAUUUACUGGGCGUAAAGCGCACGUAGGCGGAUUCUUAAGUCAGGGGUGAAAUCCCGAGGCUCAACCUCGGAACUGCCUUUGAUACUGGGGAUCUUGAGUUCGGGAGAGGUGAGUGGAAUUGCGAGUGUAGAGGUGAAAUUCGUAGAUAUUCGCAAGAACACCAGUGGCGAAGGCGGCUCACUGGCCCGAUACUGACGCUGAGGUGCGAAAGCGUGGGGAGCAAACAGG
rnacentral:rRNA from 1 species